UACUACCCUUAGAUUUCAUGGGCUGACUUCAAAAUCCAAUAACUCCUUCACUUCAAUUUAGAAUCCAGCAAACAGUAUGUAAAAAGUGUAGCUGCAAAAGUGCUCUCUUUAGUUGUAGUCACAGAUCCUCAAUUGCAAUUUAUACGCGUAUGUUAUGUCAAAAAGAGUGACAAUAGCUUCCAAAUCAAUACCUUAACUUUGAGUGCUUAUAUCUUCUUCAUAUACACUCCAAAUCAUACAAAACUUGCACCAAAACCAUAGCCAAAAACAUAAACUUGUUAUCUCUAGCCUUCAAAGCUCGAAUGGCUCCGAAAAACUAACCCUAAUCUCUAAUA
rnacentral:lncRNA from 1 species